UGCGAAUGCAGCGCUUUAUUUUUUAAACCGGAAAUAGUUGCUGCGUAUCGGUCGUGCAUUUACCGUAAGCUGACGGUAAGAGCGCACUGAAAAUGUAGGAGCGGCUGGAUUGACCGCAGCUUUUUACUGUGUAAAAUUUCAAGUGGUGGCUUUCAUGCCAGUGAACGAUUAUCAUGAAGCUUUUUUAUUGUGGUUUUAACCAGCACAAGCAGCAACUGUGUGAGCCAUAGUGGUGUAAAGAAUCCGUUUUAUUUCCCCGUGACUGUCAGUCUGUUUCUAGCUACUGAGCUGAUGUGCGUUUCUCAGAGAGCAGGAGGUCCGACUCAGGAUCAGAGAGCAGACAGGACGAUGCCGAGCCGUUUUUAGUUGUUCCAGGUCCAUUCAUCUUUCAUGAUGCCAAGGCUCUGUAGUAAAUUGGCAGUGUAAGGGGUGCUGGGUAGAGGUGUCCAGUAGCUCUGCACUGCUGAAGCAUUAGAAGCUGAAACAUCCUCAGUUUGGCCGCACUGCUUGCUUUCCGUGGACCACUUUCUCUUGUCCUUGCACAUUUAAGACAUGGAAUGGUUUACUUCUCCACCAUAGUAGGGGACACACAAAUGUAAGUCAG